GCGUCUUCCUCUUAUCCAUACCGCCCAUUCUCUCAUGCGCCGGCGGCCGCUGCACCUCGGGCGGGAGGAUGAAGAGGAGAUGGGGCGCGGUGCUCCCCUCCUGGUUCGGUGCACGAGGGAAGGAGGAGGGAUCUACUCAAGACGGGAGCUGAGGCCGGCGGCGCCCUCUACGCAAGCCUCAUCGGCGGUUCGGCGGGAGAGCUCCGACCCGUCCAUAGGUGCGGGGACGCAGAUCCACGUCGCCAUCCUAUAUAAGAACCAGAAGCCGAGAUGCAAAUAUGCAAUUAAACACAGAACCUUUAUGUGGUCUGAACAAGAUGAACAACAUGAGAGAAUGGAGCGGGAAUCGGAAUCGAAUGGAAAGCAGAGUUAGCGGCUCAGAUCAACGACAUGAACUGCUCAAUUUUCCCUAUUGUAUUAGCCCAAGGAUGGAGUAUCUUUAUCCUGCUCUCGCUAGUGGGAUACGAAAGGCGCUCUUCCAUCCAAUUCCUCGACCCGGUCAACCCAAGUACAUUGCAAAUGGUGUUUGAUUGUAGCGAAGCAUCAUUGAAUUAAAUGUAUUCAUGAGUUAUAAAUGUUAUUACUAAUCUUAUAGAGUUGGAACUUGGAAUGUCAUUAAGAGAAUUUCCAUUUCUGGAAGAUCUUGAUUGGUGCUUUAAGAUUUUGAUAAGCAAGUA